GGGCCCGCACAAGCGGUGGAGCAUGUGGUUUAAUUCGAUGAUACGCGAGGAACCUUACCAGGGUUUAAAUGCAGAACGACAGGGGUGGAAACACCCCCUUCUUCGGACGGACUGCAAGGUGCUGCAUGGUUGUCGUCAGCUCGUGCUGUGAAGUGUCGGGUUAAGUCCCAUAACGAGCGCAACCCCCAUUUCUAGUUGCCAGCGGUUCGGCCGGGGACUCUAGAGAAACUGCCAGCGUAAGCUGUGAGGAAGGUGGGGAUGACGUCAAAUCAUCACGGCCCUUACAUCCUGGGCCACACACGUGCUACAAUGGUAGGGACAACAGGUUGCCAACCCGCGAGGGUGAGCCAAUCCCAAAAAGCUAUCUCAGUUCGGAUUGUCGUCUGCAACUCGACGGCAUGAAGUCGGAAUCGCUAGUAAUCG
rnacentral:rRNA from 1 species